UACGAAGGGGGCUAGCGUUGUUCGGAAUUACUGGGCGUAAAGCGCGCGCAGGCGGUCUUCCAAGUCAGUGGUGAAAGCCCGGAGCUCAACUCCGGAAUUGCCAUUGAAACUGUUAGACUUGAGGAUGAGAGAGGUGAGUGGAAUUCCCAGUGCAGAGGUGAAAUUCGUAGAUAUUGGGAAGAACACCGGUGGCGAAGGCGGCUCACUGGCUCAUUACUGACGCUCAGGCGCGAUAGCGUGGGGAUCAAACAGG
rnacentral:rRNA from 1 species